CUGUGAGGCUCAGAUAUUGGGAUACAGUCUCCAACUAGAUCCAGUUCAGGUCUAGGCUAUCAGAAAGCAUAUGGGGAGGCUAUGCAAAGAAAGUCCAAAGGAACCUGGCAGCUGGAGUUGUGUGUCUGGCUGCCUGAAUCUCAGUGGGAGGGAAGGGUCUCCAAGGGGCAGAGAUACCAUCAGGACCAGGAGAGUAAAGGGGAACAGAAAGUAAUUGGAUGGACUCUACAAAGGUAACUAAGGACGAGAAAGAGCCCAGCCUGAAAAAGUUUAGAGCUUCUGGAAUAGGGUUGUGUUGUGCAGGUCUAGGAAAUAUGCUCCAGAUAUCCAGGCCAGAGUGGUAGGAAAAUCCACCAUUCCCUUUAUUACCUGGGGAAGCCACAUGUUCCCUAACUACAGGCAUUUUACCCAUGUCCGGUUCUGUCUCGGAACUCCCAACCUAUUCAAAGAUGCAUUUUCCUGGCUGUGGGAGGAGAGUCAGCACACAGCUGAGCUGCAGCAAGAACCACAGCUGGGUGACCCUGGAACCUCCCAGAUCAGAGGAGAUGAAGGGGUGGGAAAAGGGAAGGAGGGAAGCAGGGUUGUGUUUCCAACAACUGUUCCUAAGGAAGUAGCUCUCAGCUCUUGAAAUUCUGUUGGGGAUAUCUUAUCAUCACCAAUUAGGUCAAGAUCCUAUGACUUGGGGUUUAACAUGAUUUUUCCAGAUAUGGUUGCUAGAGAUGUUGUGUUUUAUAAAGAAGAGAACAAGUCAAGGGUAACAGUUGGAAACAAAAUGUAGGACUCCAUGAACAUGGCCUUUUCUAGACUGUUGCUAAGGACAGUGUAGCAUGAGGCCCCAGAAGAUUUCAAGAUCUCUGAGAAAGAACCCACAGGAUGGAACUCCAAUUUAAAAGAUGAAAAACAAAUUUGUUUCCUUUGCCAGUUGGAGAGAUGUUGCAAAAGGUGAAAACCAAGGAUGGAGUUAUUAAAUGCAUAAACUAUA